GUGAGGCUAGGAGAAAACGGCCAGCUGCAAAACAGGAGGGAGCCGGCCCUCACCAGACACCCGAUCUUGAUGCCAGCACCUUGAUCUUGUACUUCCUAAACUCCAGCACUGUGAGAAAUAGACGGUGGUUGUUUAAACCACCUAGGAUAUGGUAUUUUGUUGUUGCAGCUAGAAUUGACUAAGAUGUGUAGUCUAGGGCUCCAAUCUUGAGUCUGCUCUUCAAUAACUGGGUGACCAAAGACAAGGUUUUUAACUUCUCUGCAUCUUAGGGGCUUUUUUUCCCUUUAUACUCUAAAAACAGGGGGAGUAGUAAUGCUAAUUUCAUAAAGUUGUGAUGAUGAGAUAGGAUAAUAAUGCAAAAGUUUUUGUAAUAAUAGCUGGCAUUGAACAUGGGUCCCCUAAAUGUAGGAAUAAUAAUUGUUUUCUUUUUCUUUCUAUCUGAGUACACUUGCUGUGAGGACAAGGUCACAUUGGCAUGUCCUUUCUAGGUUGAGAUCUCAUGGUGGGAAAGCCCAUGUGGCUCUGAAUCUUCGUAGCAGAGCCUUCAAGAACUCCUGGAUCCAAAUGGGAACUGUCACUGCUGAUUGGCUUUCCCUACCAUCAGACCUCAAUGCUCCUCCCUCCUAGGAGAACAGAGGGAGUCUUUCCUGGACCAACAAUAAAGUUCAUACAUUUUACUCUUCCUGAUAAUGAUCCCUAUUGCCUUUUAUUUAAGCUAACAAUCAUUUAUGGCUUCCUAUGUGCAGCCAGAAACUCUGUUGGGCAAUUUACUUGGGUUAACCGAUUCAAUUCUUAGGGCAACCUCAUGAGGUAGGCACUAUCAUCACCUUCUUAGCAGUUAACUUGUGUCCAAAGUCACAUGGCUAGUAUGUAGUAGAAUGGAGUUUUAAAUUUUUUAAAAUUAUGUUAAAAUCCACAUAACAUGAAAUUUACCAUUUUCAACAUUUUUAGGUUACAGUUCUGUGGCAUUAAGUACAUUCACAAAGUUGUACAACCAUCACCACUCUCCAUUUCUAGAACUUUCCUAUCACCCCAAGAACUGAGCCUUUUAAGCUGAAUUUGUUUAGCUUUUAAUUCACGAAAGGAGCAAUCGUGCAGUGGGUAACAGCAUGAAUUCUUCCAGGGUUCAAAUCUCAGGUCUGCCAUUGAUGAGCUGUGAGAUCUGGGGGAAGUUACUUGUGCCUAGUGCCUCAGAACCUUCAUCUGUAGAUGGAGAGGAUGAUAAUUAAUGGUGCCUCUCUUCUAGAAUGGCUAUCAUAUUAAAUAACUUAAUCUAUAUUAAGAACUUAGAACUCAACUUGGUAAAUAUUGGGCACACAAUAAGCAUUAGUUAUUAAUUACUCCAUCCUGGUAAUUAUAGGGUGCUGUAGGAAUGAUGGGAUAGGAGCUAGAACAGAGUGCUUAGGAAUGAUGUUGGGAUGUAGGAAAGUUUUGAACUAUACAAAGUAUUAUUUAAACUGACUUCUUUGAAUUAGGCUUGAAAUGAUAUACCACUUCCUUACAUAAUGUUGGUGGGAUUUCAUUAGGUCACUAAAACUUCCUCUGGUGUUGAAAAAUAAUACGGUCUCUCUCAUUGCCAGAGAACAGGGUAGGCCCAGCAGGCCACUAAUGACACACAUGAAGAUCUCUACUGACACAGCGGACUCCCUGGCCUAUGGAGGGCCCGGGACUAGCUGCAGAAUGCAAGCCUGUGUGGGCAACAUCCUCAAACCCCUCCCCUCUUCUGGCUUCCAGGCCAGGAAUGCAGAACUCAUGACUUCCACUCCACCUCCCUCUUCCCUCCACAUUUCAAGGAAUAAUUUUCAGAAGAUGUUGAAAUCUCACACAAAUACAUAAUGAGCAUGCAUCAAAGUUUUCUUUAACCCAUUAAUGGGAGAACCAGCAGGAUGGCACAGCUAGCUUCAGAGAGGAUUUUAGAAACUGAUGUAUAAAAUAUAGUGUUCUUAAAAUAAUAAAAGGGUGCUAGAAUUUGAUUGCUAAAUUAGAUAUAAAAUUGGUCAAGGUUCUACAGAGUAAUACGCUCAUCUUUGGGUCUACAUUCUCUACUGAUUAGAAUGUAUCUCCACUGGAUAAAAAUAAUUUGGACCCUGAACAUUUUCUCCAAAUUAAUCUCUACUCUUACAGAGCUGGAUCCCUAGUUAAUAUAUCAAGUUGUAAGUCAAGCAAAGUCACAUUUCCUUAGUCAAGUGGUCCUGAGAUAAUCUUUCAGACAAUGCUUGGGCAUGAUACUGAAAAGGCCACAGAUAGCUCUUGCCUUAUUUCCAAGUUUCAUAAUAAAACCAAGGUACAGAUUACUAAGCCAUCAGAAAUCUUUUUCCAUGAAGACUAGAUAAGGCUUCAGAUGUUUUUUCUGCACUGUGCUCCAUAUAGCCACUACUAGUUAAUAACGAAACUGAUUUGUCAUCCAGCCCUUGAUGGCGAACAUGGCUUGGUUUAGAAGUUCUAGACAGCAUCUUCCAUGGCUGACUGAAGCUAUUCUGACUACUCAAAGCUCUGGCUUAGCCUUAAGGAAAGACAUCUCUCACUGAAGGAAAGUAAGAGGUCAAAGAAAACUCCCUUUUUCCAUUCUAGAUGGAUGUUUGCUUGCUCUUCCUAAGUCAGGAUUGCACAAGUAAGUUAGAUGACUUCAGGGCCAUUGGUCUCACUUCAUUGGCUUGUUUUGAUUAUAUCAGGUGUAGAGUUGUGUGUUAAGUGGGUGAGGAGCUUGCAAGGGAAUGGGAGAUUUGUUCUUAGCUAUGUUGGGUGCUGCUAGUGACAUUUAUAGUGUAUGGUCCCUCCAUCCAGUACAUGGACCUGUUGGAAACAAGAGAAAUAGGAAUAUUAGAACGCAGGAGGAGGAGCAAUUAUUCUUCAUUCAUUCCAAGGCAUCCAUUACGUGCCAGGCUUUAUUGCAGUCUGUUGGAAGCCACUGGAGAAUCUCUCCCCUAGAAGGAUCACGAGGCCUUGUGGUAUGCUAUUUUAUUACAAGUUUCCUAAGUGAGCUAUGCUAAGGCCUAUGUGCUGCUCCCCACAAAGGCAUGUCUGCCUGCGGUAAGAAAGAAGACUUAAGCAGUGUGUCAAUGUCCCUUGUUGAAAUGUUAUUUCUCAUAAUUACACAGCUUUCAAACUGUCAACAAAAUUUUCUACUUGGAAAUUACACUUGACAUUUAUAUUUCUAUGCAAAAUUGGGGAAAAGAUGGCUUACCAGUGUUUCAAAUAAGGUAAAAGAACACUAAUUCAGUGUCAUCAUGAGUCUUUCAUUUCUGCCCUGUGUAAAAUGAUCAGAGAGGACGGAACAUUUUCCCUGUCAGGACAGCUGUGAAUAGACAGUUAAAGAAAAGCAUAAGAAAAGCGCAAGGAGGCAGAGGCUAUCAGCUGAACAGGUGACACCUGGAAUUGUGAUUUGUAUGCAGGAGAAGGAAAGUGGAACAUGUGACUUCUCUACAUCUUGGUAUCCUGUGACUUCUGCUUCAUUGUUCCAUAGGAGUGAAAUGAAUCACUGUGUAGACAGGAACAUAUCAAGACUUACUUCAGACUUCUGAGGGUCAGUCUCCACAAAGACACUAUGAGAGAGUGUCAGCAAGAGAAACAUCCUAAGAUUAAAGGUAAGAAGACAAAAAAGAUGUACCAUGCAAGUAGUAGCCAGACAUAAGUUGGUAUAGCUAUACAAUGCCAGACAAAGCAGAGUUUGAGGGAGGAAGCAUUUCACGUGUUACAUAUCCUGCAUACCCGAGUGGAGCCCAGUUUUCUCUGCUCUGUGAUUCCCGGCAAUGCUGCCUUCUCUGAUGUGCUCCAGGGGCACAAAUGCCAAGUCAGGCCAUGGCCGUCCACUUUGCCCACCCAGCCCACACUUCUCAACGGAGGAGGCCUGCUUCAACCCCAAACCUCAGGUUCUCUCUGUCAUUUCUUAUCCGCCAACUCCUUUUCCUCCUCAACAGGUUUUUGUGCCAGGCAUGAUGGCACAUGAUGGCACUGGGGACACAUCUGGGGACAAUGCUUAUGGAACCCUGCUCUUCUGGGAAUUGGCGGUAUCAUGGGGGAUGACUAACAUGCAGCAACUAAAUAAAUAAAGUUGUUUGAUAUAAACAUGUGAUCAUUGCUAUUAAGUUUGAGAGCCCAGAGGGCUCUCUAUCCAAGAAGUUCCUGAUUUUAGCUGUUUCAUCAAGGGUCCAACUACUAAGCCAACCGCCACUGGCUCUUCUGGAAAGAACCCAGUAAAGGAUGAAACCCUUAUGACCAGGAUGUGUAAGAAGGCUAACAGCUCUUCCCUGAAUAACUGCUUGACAUGCCAGGAUGUUCAACUCACUCUAACUCCGAUGUGUACUCUUCCUAGACUCUUUAGAAGUGACUCUAUUUCCUACCUAAGUCCUGUGUGGAUGCAUGAUUCUGCCCAGAGCUGAUCAUAAAUUCAACCCCAGUUAAGGGCACAGCACCCAGGUCCACAGGCUCUGGGUCACAAGGAGGAGCCUGUGUGUUGGUCUGAGGUGACAAACUACAGAAUCUGUUUGAUCUGGUAACUGGUUUUGAAAUACCUGAGCAUAGGCCAGGCCACAUAGGCCUAAGAGGGAGUGAAGGCAUCUUUGGCCAAAGCUGAGUGAACAAAUGCAACUUGUCAGGAAGGGGCUAUGCAUGAUUUUAGUAAAUCAUUUAGUUCACUGAACAUCGAUAAUAGGCCUCAUUGAAAACUGGCUCAUAUCUUCAGGCUGUCUUCUUUCAGACCUACACAAAGAAGCCUAUAAAGCAAGGGCACUUUGCCCUUGCCUUCCAGGAUCUCAGUCCUGAAUGAAGCAGGAAUUCUGAGUCCAGCCAAAGCCACUGUCCCUUCCCGUCUGCCCCAGGCUAAAUUCCAGGGUGGAUGCUGGCCUCUAUGGUACUUUUUGAAAAUUAGUAAGCAAUUUUACAGAUUGUCUGCUAGAAAGACACAGUUCCAAGCAUGAAUAGCUUGGUAAGGGGACUGAAGCCUGGAUUUCAGACCCCUGUCUCUGCCUUAGCAGGGUAUAUUGUGAAAUGCACAACCUCUGCAACCAUGCCUGUGAGCCUUGCUGAGCUUCUGUGUUCUCCAAGGACAGUUUCUGGCAUCGCCUCCUUAGAAUGCAUCCUGCAAGACUUGAGUUAGCAUCAGACUCAAGGGGAUGAGCAAGCAGCAAUUGGAGAAAAAAAGGUAGUAAUCCAGUUUUGAUUACACCUUCCUGCAAGGCCUUCUGCUUGAGGGACACCAGAAGUGAUUUGGAUCCUGAACAGCAAUUCAUGAGGUACUGAACAAACCACACAGACACCCAGAAGUCAGGGCAAGCUUGGGGUCCCAAAGUUCAAACUAACAACCAGGAGUGGUUGCGCUUACCACUUACUUUGCAGGAGGCAGCCUGGCAAGCAUUUGCAGUGGAAAAAUAUGAGGAGAUUGGAAUGGGAAGCAAGGAGAUAAUGGGUGGUGCAAGGUGCUGGAGGUUGUGGGAGGGAAUGGGGCAAACAUAUAGGGGAAGAGCCAGGGAGCAUGGGGGAUGGAGGCUGGCUGUAGAGCAGGUGUGACAGGGUGAGGGAUCUUGGCUGGAAAACAUUUUACCUCUUCUAGGCUGAAGUCAGUGCAGUCGAGAAUGCUGAAUGUGCUGACAGUCGGGAGUGGCUAUGGAGAGCCUCUCUGAGGAGAGAGAGAGGAAGGGAGAGAGAGAAGCAUCAAUUGGUCCCUCCAGCCUGCAUCCGGACAGGGGAUUGAACUGCAACCUAAGAAUUGUGCCCUGACCAGGAGUCGAACCGCAACCUUUCGGUUAUGGGAUGACUCUCCAACCAACUGAGUCACACUGGCCAGGGCACUAAUAAAGAUUUUAAAAGAUGAGUAUUACUUUAUGUACAAUUUUUUUAUGCACACACACACACACACACACACACACACACCUUAAGCAUAUGGCUUCGCGAAUUCUGAGAAAUGAAUACACCUGGGUAGCCCACAUUGGCGGGAUUAGGGAUCAAAGUACACUUUUUCCAUGCGGAUAUCCAGUUGUCCCUGCAUGAUUUGUUGAAAAGACUUGAUCUUCCCCACUGAACUGCUGUGAU